rnacentral:lncRNA from 1 species
UUUUAUCUUUGAUUUAUUACACAAGACAUACAUGCACAAGUCUAAACCAGUCCUGUCUACUCCUAUUUGUUCCACAGUCAAACUCUCUGCAAUCGAUCGGCCUUCAUUUGAGGACCAGUACCUUUCCUUUACGCGGCCUGAUCUUUCCUUUGCCAUCAACAAAGUCUAUCAGUUCAUGCAUUAUCCACGUGUGUCUCUCAUUGACAGGCUGUCAGGCGUAUUUUACGCUAUCUCCAUCACACGUCUAACCUUGGUCUCUACAUUUCCUCAUCUUCUACGUUUAAACUUACUGCCUUCUCAGAUGCCGAUUGGGCAGGGUGUCCAGAUGACCGCAAAUCAAUCAACGGGUGGUUUUUGUGUCUAUUUUGGCUCGCACCUCAUUUCUUGGGGCUCUAAGAAGCAACCCAUGCCAUAGCUAGAUCUUCAGUCUAUUUUGGCUCGCACCUCAUUUCUUGGGGCUCUAAGAAGCAACCCACCAUAGCUAGAUCUUCAACAGAGAAUUAGUUAUCUUCUUAGUUGAUCCACCACCUUCUUUGUGGUGCGACAAUUUAGGUGCUACUUAUCUGUCCGUCCGUCAAUCCUGUAUUACAUUCUAGAACUAUUACAUUCUAGAACUAAACAUGUUGAGCUUGGUUUUCAUUUUGUAAGAGAAAGGGUUGCAGCCAAAACACUUAAAAGUUGCAUUUGUUUCAAGCAAAGAUCAAGUGGCAGACAUCCUGACAAAGCCACUAUCUCUCCGAUUCGAUUCAACCUACUUCGCUCAGCUCUUACUAUCUCCCACGUGUAACUUGACUCGAGGGGGACCAUUGAGGCACUGGACCAUGCCAGCACCAAUUCAACAUGCCAGGACGCCUCUGGAUGAAAAUAACAGAAUCCCAUUUAUGUGAUCCUCUAGAAUUGUUGUGCGCAUCAGAAAAUGAUGGCGUGUACAGCUGAGAUUUAAUCUUGUAAUUGUUUGUUAUGAUUUGGUCAUGUAAUGUUGGCUAUAAAUGCUCACUAUUCCAGCUCCAUUAUAUGAAAGGAAAAAAAGUUCGAGAAAAUACCUUUAGGAAAUCUCUCUCCUUUCUGGCAUUUUGUCAAACAUGUUUCGUGUGUGUUUAUUCUUCUUCAUUUUCUCAUUACUGUAGACGGUGAAGAAAAAUCCAAGGAAAUCACAUUCAAUUUCAUUUCGUUUUAAGAAUUACUAAUGGACAGGACGGUGGAUAGCUAGCAACUUCACUUUGUAAAGAGACAUUAAAAAAACACCAAUAAUUCUGACCGUUAUAAGGUCAAGAUUAGUCAUCCAUGGAUAACUACAAAACCUUUCAUCUUAACUAUAAUAUUUGCCAAUUGUUGAGGACUAACCUCUCAGGUUUCAACGAACAAGACACCGACAUUGUGGAAAAUAUGGUGCAAGGACAGAAGCCGUGCGUGUAGCACAUGGUUUGAGGUGAUUGUGAUUUUUAAGUUCAUUGUUCAAGAACAGAAUAUAGAAGAGCAAGCCCUUGUAGGAG